rnacentral:rRNA from 1 species
CUCAGUCACAGCAGCAGUAUCAAUUCCACGAUGGCGGACUGGUCGUCCCUUCUGCCGGACCUAGUCCGCCGUGUCGGUGACUGCAUGCUCGUCACCAGCGACCUCGAUCACUACAUGGACAUGCGGGCUGUCUGUCACAACUGGCGCUCCACCCUCGUCGACCCGUGCAGCGACUGCGCCGGCGUCGACCUCCUAUGCUUCCGCCCUCGGCACUGGGUCAUGCUAGACGAGGAGGAGGAACCCACGGACGGCGCCCACCUCUUUAUCAACGUCUCGACCGGGCGUUUUCUCCGCCGCCGCGUCCCGGUGCUUCAGGACCACAUCCUUGUCGGCCCUUCCGACGGGCUCCUCAUCGUCGGCGACAGGAAGCCCCAGCAUGCUGUCCGCGUCCUCAACCCCUUCACUGGCUCGCUGCUCCAUUUCAAGGUGAUACUCCCUAGUUACCGGGCUAGGGCAGUGGUGGGCGGCGACCAUGCGUGCCCAACGUCACUCGUCUUCGGGCUCGACUGCUGCUACGAUAACGACGACCCCGUCUGGAGCGCAGAUCCGGCCAGCGAGCUUGUCCGCAUCACCUACGCGACUCGCCCGGUCUACCUCGGAAGCAUGGUCGCCCACGCAGGCCACGUCUACAUGGUCGACUGGGAGUGGGAGCCAUCCGUGUACGAGAUCGUCUGGGACGAUUGCUUCACCUACCGACAAUGGAUAACGCAGAGGCCGGACGCGUUCGUGUCUUCUGAUGAGGACUCGGAGUCAUGGCCGUGGCUUAGAAAUUACCUAGUGGAGUCUGACGGGGAGCUGCUCCUCGUCCGUCGUCCGCGGCUCCGUAGGCAUAACAUGGAGGUUUUCAGGGUGGACCUUGAGGGACACGCGCUCGAGCCCGUGAACCAGAUCGCCGGUGGCCGCCACGCCCUCUUUGUGGGGAAGAGGUGCCUGUCCGUUGACGCCGACAGGCUCCCCUCUGUCGAUGGAAACUUCAUCUACUAC